CUUCCUGUUCAACUCUUAAUAAACUUACACAUGCANGCAUCUACACCCCAGUGAGAAUGCCCUCUAGGUUAUUAAAACUAAGAGGAGCUGGCAUCAAGCACACACCCUGUAGCUCACGACGCCUGCUUAACCACACCCCCACGGGAAACAGCAGUGACAAAAAUUAAGCCAUAAACGAAAGUUUGACUAAGUUAUAUUAAUUAGGGUUGGUAAAUCUCGUGCCAGCCACCGCGGUCAUACGAUUAACCCAAGCUAACAGGAGUACGGCGUAAAACGUGUUAAAGCACCAUACCAAAUAGGGUUAAAUUCUAACUAAGCUGUAAAAAGCCAUGAUUAAAAUAAAAAUAAAUGACGAAAGUGACCCUACAAUAGCCGACGCACUAUAGCUAAGACCCAAACUGGGAUUAGAUACCCCACUAUGCUUAGCCCUAAACACAGAUAAUUACAUAAACAAAAUUAUUCG
rnacentral:rRNA from 1 species